rnacentral:misc_RNA from 1 species
CGUGCGUCUGCGGCCUGUCUAGACGACCCCCUCCCCGCGCCACACCGCUUCGAUCCCAGCAUACUAACCUCACCUUCCUCGCCGGCAACUCCGCUUUCCCCGCAGUCGCUCCUUUCACUGCAACGACCAUCUGCUGUUAGUCCUGGGAAACAAUUUUGUUAUUUUGAUCGUAGUCCAAUGGUGGUCCAGUGACAUUUAUGACGUAUGUUUACGCUAGCACAAGUAGCGCAAUAAAUAAAACAAGUCCGUGAG